rnacentral:rRNA from 1 species
GUGCUAGAAAGCAACGAUAAUUACCUCCAGAGAACUUUAGGCGAACGAGAAUAGAGGACUCCGGACCUCAUGCGUCCCAAGGUGCCAAGGGGGACUAGAACCUCCAAGGCACUACCGAUAGCAAAUUCUAAUGUUUCUGGAGAUAAAUCCUUUGCAGACGACUUAAAUAAAGAACGGGGUAUUGUAAGUUGUAGAGUAGCCUUGUUGCUACGAUCUUCUGAGAUUAAGCCUUUGUUCUAAGAUUUGU